GCGCCCGUAGCUCAACUGGAUAGAGUGAUUGACUACGGAUCAAUAGGUUGGGAGUUCAAGUCUUCCCGGGCGCGCCA
rnacentral:tRNA from 1 species